rnacentral:lncRNA from 1 species
CCAAAUGAUACACACAGAGAUCUCGACUAUGACAUUCCAUUUGUAUUAGCUUUUUCAGCAGGGGUGUGGAAGAAAUUUAGAUUAAUGAGAGUUUGUACAGGGCCUUGAGGUGAAAAAUGAAAAAUAUUCCCCUUCAGUAGGGUGUAGGUCUCCCGUGUCUCAUUUAAUGCAUUCAUUACAUGAGAAAAAAAAAAAAAAAAAAAAAGCUGAUUAUGACUGGAGCAAAAUUUUAACAGAAAAAACUGAGAAUAGGUGUUAAAUAAAGAGGAUUGAAAUCUGCAGUUCCCCUUGUGGUAACUCUGCAAAACCAAAAGACUAAAUUGAAAAUCAAGAGUGUGAAGUUAAUUGGUUACCCCAUGCAGGCUCCCAUCCCACCCGUAGAAGUGCAGCAUCCACCCUGUGCUUUUGAUCAAGAAGUUACUGACCGAAGUCACCUGUGUCACCUCUUAAGUUGACCCUGUUGCUCCAUUGUUCGCUUGUUCCAAAGGGAUCUUGUUAUGUGCUAUCUCAGAGUCCUGCUUCUGUCCCCUUUCACAGUCUCUGUAGCUCCCUGAUGAUUCGAGCUCUAAUAACCUUUUUUAUUUCUGGUAGUCAGUUCAACUCAUCAUCCACAAAACCCAUUCCGUAAAUAUAAGCGUGAGCCUAGAUUCAUGAGAGUUAAAAGCAAUAAAAUUCGUGUUUAAGCAACCCAUCACCUCUGAUAAAGGACUGUGCAGACAAACUCUUUGAACGGGCUCGCUGUGGAGUCACAGAAGUGCCAGUACAGGUGGCUGCACUGAGCUGCAUCGCCAGUGAGGCAUUCCAAGGAGAGAGGAAUGGAAAAUAAUGGCAGCGUGCCUUUGAGAGAAAUGAAAAGGCACAAUCUAUAUAGACCAAGAAUUGUGAUGGGGCCCAGCAUGUCACACAUGGGUCAUCUGUGUCUGUGUAACCUCCCCUGAGUCCAGCCCAUCGAGCCGGGAACAAGCAGCUCCUCAUAUUGUGAGCAUCGGCUUCGCUGUGUACCUACUUGUUUUG